UAAAUCUUCAUACCUGUCGCACUGGAGUGGUAAGCCAUGCAAAUGGAUCCAUACAUCAUACCGAAAUCUAUGCCGGCGUUCACCAAGGUUGUAUUCCCACGGCACAGCACUAAUUGUGAGUUUGUAGGACUGAAUUGGCGAACGACGGAUAGCUUUAUCCCGAAUCUUGCCGGUAGGAAAGAAUACUACAUAGUCGCCGCCGUCAGGACAAUGUACAGUUUCAUAAUCGCGGGGAUCACCACCAAACCGCUCCGCUAGUAGACCAGUUACGCCAUCCAUCAUGCCAUCGUCUUCAGUGUCGGAGGAUACAAUAUUCACUUUAGCUGCACGGUCGUACAAAAUAUUAGUAUCUAAGUAUCUAUUGCAAAAUGGAAUAAAACAGUAGUUGAAUCUUGGUCGGGUGGAGUUCGGAGUCGACAUGAUAGAUGUCUAGUUAUAAGAAUGAGCAAAAAACAAAUAGGGAUAAGGAAUUAGCACAAUAGUAUUCGAGAGGAGGAGGGAUGUGAAGAAGGAGGCUUAUUUAUAAGUGGACAUAUCGGUGUAAAAGGUAUUUUGGUGGGCCCUUUAGCCCUACAGAUGUUCCAGGUGGGCCCUUUAGCCCUACAGAUGUUCCGGAGAACUGAAUAACUGUUCCAUUUUUAUGCUAUAGCUGCACAACCAAAGCCUACUAUAUAGAAGACUUAGGAUUGGUGAUGCUCGUUUACUCAGGUAUGUAGGUUAAUAAUUUGUGGUGAAAUUACACUUGAGAAAAAGUGUUUAGAAGACUUAGGAUUGGUUGUAAACAGAUAAAUUGAAAAAUUCUGAGUUUUUCAAUAUUAGGGAUCCGGACCCUAAGGAGGAUCUGGACCCCAUAGGUCCUCUCUGCAUGAUACGCAGAGAGGGUCCGGACCUGAGCUUCAGGAUCCCGACCCCGUAGGUCCUCUCUGCAUGAUACGCAGAGAGGGUCCGGAUCUGUGCUUCACGAUCCGGACCCCGUAGGCCCUCUCUGCAUGAUACACAGAGAGGGUCCGGACUUGAGCUUCAGGAUCCCGACCCCGUAGGUCCUCUCUGCAUGAUACGCAGAGAGGGUCCGGACCUGUGCUUCACGAUCCGGACCCCGUAGGCCCUCUCUGCAUGAUACACAGAGAGGGUCCGGACCUGUGCUUUAGGAUCCGGACCCCGUAGGUCCUCUCUGCAUGAUACGCAGAGAGGGUCCGGACCUGUGCUUCACGAUCCGGACCCCGUAGGCCCUCUCUGCAUGAUAACAGAGAGGGUCCGGACCUGUGCUUCAGGAUCCGGACCCCGUAGGCCCUCUCUGCAGGGAGGGUCCGGACCGGACUUGGGCUUCACGAUCCGGACCCUUGCUGGAAGGUCCGGACACUCCGCCCGACUUCAUAUAAUUUCUUUGGUCCAUUCUCUCUCAUACUUUCCCAAUCUUUUAUCAAAACAUCUCCCACGAACCCUUGAAACCUCGACGGUGAAUUUGCUUAAGUUUUCUCUUGGUUUUCAUCUCAUUUUCGGUAAGGUUUUCAGAUUUGCUUUGUUUCUUGGUGAAUAUUCCGAAAUUGUGCCUAUUUUUGUAAUUGAUUCAUAUAACUUGUUAGAUCGUUUCUUUCUUUCGUUGGUUUUUGAUCUAGACUUGCUGGAGAAUAUCAUAUUGUGUUUUUGCAUGAUUUAGAUAGUAUAUGACCCCAAAUCUGUUUCAUUUGUAAACAUAAGAGCUUCAUGUCAAUUUUAUUGAUAAUGACAAAAUGUUGUAUUUUCUAUUGACGGUAUUUGACAUUGUUUUUUUUUGUGAUGUCAUAUUUUCUGCUAAAGUUCUAUAUGGCCCUGGAUUAUUUCUAUAAAUUAUUUUUAAAGUGUUUUAUAAAUUUUUUUUUUUCUUAGAAAGUGAUAUUUAUAUGUCAAUUUUAUCACAAAUUUGGUUAUAAACAGGAAUUUAUUUUUUUUGGUCACAUUGUAGUAUCUUUUCUUGGUACUUGUGUUCAUGAUGGCUGGUGGUGGGCGUGGGGAAAAACGCCGCCGUUCCUCGGCUCAGCAACCAGCCGAGCAACCUGUGGAAGAUGUGGGCAGUGAGUAUGCUCCCAAAGAGGAGUCGGAAACAGAAUCGACCGACUGGGAAGCGAUGGCUCCUGAGGUGUUGUCAAAGAAAAAGGGAAAAGAGCUGGCGGCUCCGGAGAAAGAGAAAGGAAAAGGAAAAGGAAAAGGAAAAGGAAACGAAAAAGGAAAAGGAAAAAAGAAAGGAAAAGGAAUAGGAAAGGAAAAAUUGAAGUCGACCCGCGGUAAGAAGAAGACCGAUGGUGAUGAGAGUCGUGAGCCUCCAGUUGAUUCUAAACGUCAGGCGAUGUUCUCUUCCAAAGUAUGUAUUGGCGAGCGAGAUGUGGGUGUUCCUCAGCUAAUUAAAAAAGCACCCGUGUUUGAAUCCCUUUAUAUGAAUGGUGAUCUUGUGUCUAUUUGUUCGUUUCCUGAGCAGACGGGUUAUUGUCUUGAACUGAUUCGAGAGUUUUAUAUGUGUGCUGGACAUCUCCAUGAUACUGAUGGUGGACCAUAUUGUUUCAAGACUUCUGUCCGUGGCAUCUCCUUGGAUAUUACGCCGGAUUUGGUAGGUUCGGUUCUUGACAUGCAAGUUUGUACUGAUGGAGUUGAUUAUUUGCAUGCUGGUAUUGACUCAAUUCGUGACUGGCGACGUAUUGUGAAUGGCGUUUGUGUGCCUAAUACUCAGUCAACAGGGAAUUCAGUAUUGUCAAAAGAAUUGAAAUUGGAGUAUCGUUUUCUCAACUUUGUUGUGGACUAUAAUAUCUUGCCGACAAUGAACACGAAGGUCGUACGUUGGGACAGGCUGUUGUACAUGUAUUUACUUGGACGACCCGACGAGGUACGAUCACGAGGUAUUAACUUGAACAUUCCUUUUCUGAUUUGGCGUCGGAUGACAAAGGAUAUGAAAUCAUCCAAUCAGAAUGAACGUCUUCCAUAUCCCUUGAUCAUUAUGCGAAUCCUUCGUGCUGUUGGUGUGGACACUCGAUGCAGCUCUUAUGAAUUUAGUCUCGGGGUUAUCAGUGAGACUACUUUUAUAAAGUCUGCUGUUCAGCUUCAGUCACCUUCUCGUCAUUCUCCUCCACGUCGUUCUAUUCAGCAGCACUCUAUUUCGGCUCCUGCUGCUCCUGGACCUUCGCAGCCUUCUCAGGAGGUAUCUGAAGAGGAUGUAUCAGUUUCCUCUGUGUAUCGUGAGCAACAACGACUCUCGAAUGAACAAGAACGAAUUUCAGGCGAGCUUCAACGCAUUGUUUCUGAACAAGCAAAGCUUUCAAGAAAAAUGAGCAAGAUUUCUAGGGUCAUGAAGGCUAUAUUUGACAAAAUGGGAUGUUGUAGUGCUGAUUUACCUCCUCAGGAUGCAGAUUCGGAUUAGGUGUCCUUGGCUGUUUACAUGUUGAUGUUUACAUGUUGAUACUUACAUUACGAUGUUUUUUUUUUUUCGGGCUUACAUCACAUGCUUACAUGUUUAGUUGAUAUUUAGGUUAGUUGAUGUUUGUGAUUACUUGAUCUGUGACUUUAACUACUUGAACUGCCGAUAGUGUUUAGUUGUCUAUUGCAAGUUUAGGUUAAAUAUAAUACUUUGAUUACUUGAUAUGCUGAUAUCUGGAUAACUUGCCUAUCUUGCUAGACUUCUGUUUUUGAUGACUGCAACUAAAAUUCUGACUAUCAUGUUAUUCGUUGCAUAUCUUGAGUGUGUAUUGUGGAGAAUUUUUGUGCAUGAUUUUCAAGACUUCAAGACUCCUCAUCUUGUCUAAGUCAUAGAGUUUGUCAAGGAUGAGUAAAUUGUAAUUUUGUGCAUGAUUUCGUGAAGUCGAUUGGAGUCUUCAAUAGUUGAAGAUGAAGAAUUGAAGCCAAGAUUACAAGAUUUGGGAGAUAAAGACUCGUUCGUGAUGCUCGUUUACUCAAGGAUGUAGGUUAAUAAUUUGUGGUGAAAUUAUACUUGAGAAAAAGUGUUUAGAAGACUUAGAAUUGGUUAUAAAGAUAUAAACUGGAAAAUUCUAACUUUUUCAAUGUUCGGGAUCCGGACCUAAGGAGGAUCCGGACCCCGUAGGUCCUCUCUGCAUGAUACGCAGAGAGGGUCCGGACCUGACCUUCCGGAUCCGGACCCCGUAGGUCCUCUCUGCAUGAUACGCAGAGAGGGUCCAGACCUGAGCUUCAGGAUC
rnacentral:lncRNA from 1 species